GAAAGGCUUCGGCCGGACAGGGAUGGGCAUGCGGCGCAUUAGGCAGUAGGCGGGGUAACGGCCCACCUAACCGACGAUGCGUAGGGGUUCUGAGAGGAAGGUCCCCCACACUGGUACUGAGACACGGACCAGACUCCUACGGGAGGCAGCAGUGAGGAAUAUUGGUCAAUGGUCGGGAGACUGAACCAGCCAAGCCGCGUGAGGGAGGAAGGUACAGAGUAUCGUAAACCUCUUUUGUCAGGGAACAAAGACUGGGACGCGUCCCCGGAUGAGUGUACCUGAAGAAAAAGCAUCGGCUAACUCCGUGCCAGCAGCCGCGGUAAUACGGAGGAUGCGAGCGUUAUCCGGAUUUAUUGGGUUUAAAGGGUGCGCAGGCGGUCUGUUAAGUCAGCGGUCAAAGCCCGGGGCUCAACCCCGGCCCGCCGUUGAAACUGGCAGUCUCGAGUUGGAGAGAAGUAUGCGGAAUGCGCGGUGUAGCGGUGAAAUGCAUAGAUAUCGCGCAGAACUCCGAUUGCGAAGGCAGCAUGCCGGCUCCACACUGACGCUGAGGCACGAAAGCGUGGGUAUCGAACAGGAUUAGAUACCCUGGUAGUCCACGCAGUAAACGAUGAAUGCUGGCUGUCCGGGGGGACUGACCCCUGG
rnacentral:rRNA from 1 species